CUGAAAUAAAUUUGUAAGUCUCUAAGGUGCCACAAGUACUCCUGUUUUUUUUGCGGAUACAAACUGACACGGCUGCUACACUGAAA